rnacentral:misc_RNA from 1 species
CCAAACUUGGUCAUUUAGAGGAAGUAAAAGUCGUAACAAGGUUUCCGUAGGUGAACCUGCGGAAGGAUCAUUACGAAGUUCGCCGCCGGCGCCGCGUCCGCCCCCCGGGCUCCGGGGGGAGAUCCGGGCGCUCGCCGGUCCGCGUCUCACCCGUGAACACUGAACCCCAUGUUGCCUUGGCGGGCCCGCCGCGCCCCGCGGCCGCCGGGGGACCCUCACCGGUCCCCGGGCCCGUGCCCGCCAACGGAGAAACGAACGUCUGCAGGAAUGAUCGGGCCGUCUGAGUGGAAUGGAAAAUCAGUCAAAACUUUCAACAACGGAUCUCUUGGUUCCGGCAUCGAUGAAGAACGCAGC